rnacentral:rRNA from 1 species
UACGUAGGGUGCAAGCGUUGUCCGGAAUUAUUGGGCGUAAAGGGCUCGUAGGCGGUCCGUCACGUCGGGAGUGAAAACUUGGGGCUUAACCCCAAGCCUGCUUCCGAUACGGGCGGACUAGAGGUAGGCAGGGGAGAACGGAAUUCCUGGUGUAGCGGUGAAAUGCGCAGAUAUCAGGAGGAACACCGGUGGCGAAGGCGGUUCUCUGGGCCUGUACUGACGCUGAGGAGCGAAAGCGUGGGGAGCGAACAGG